CAUAUACUCCCUCCGUUCCAAAAUAGAUGACUCAACUUUGUACUAACUUUGUACUAAAGUUAGUACAAAGUUGAGUCAUCUAUUUUGGAACGGAGGGAGUACUCU
rnacentral:pre_miRNA from 1 species